CUUUUUUUUUUUUUUCCUCCCUUUUUCAAAGAAGAGGAUCUUAAAGAAAAAAAAACCUCUGGAUUUUUUUUUUCUCCCUCCGCUUCCCCCUCUCCCCCCUCCCCUCGAUGUGGCCUCUUGUUUAGCUUGUGGCGUGACCGUGAUGAAGAAAUGUUUCAGGGCGCCUGGCAGGGUGAUCUUUUUAUGUAAUGAGUCAGGAUUUUGCCAACGGAAGGAGCCGGCUCGGAGCGAGGACCGGAGGGGCUGUCUCCUUUCAAGAACGCGGACCUGCCCGGCGAGCGGCUCGCUGCGCUCGGGAUCUCCGCUCGCUGCGGGCGUGGAUCCAUCCCCGGCCGGGGGGGCCCCGCCAGGGGCACUGACAAGCGGUAUUUUUAAAGCUGAGUUGUUCAGCCCAUUUCCUGUGAUGAAGAAAUCCUUCCUAAUUUUGAGUUAUGGAUAGUGGCAUCAUUCAUAUAGAGGCAGAGAAUAAAAUGACUUAAGAUAAUGCAUAUGUAUAUGCACAGGAUUCUCACCACAUCCCACCACUGGUUAUGGAUUCCAAAAGCAACCGAGGUAAUUCUUUCUUCAGAACAAAGAAUGCAGCAUGUUAUUUUUAUGUACCACCAGAAAAAAAAACUGAUAAAGAGGAAAUGAAGCAGGGGAACAGAAAAACAAAGUAAGAAACGAAAUCCAAGUUUCUAAUGCAGCGAUGUAAUGCCAAGAAACAACUCCAGAGAAACUGAUUAACUGCCAGCUUUUCUACCUGUUGCCAAGAAAACGUUGCUGUGUUCACUGAUCCUGUAAUUAAACUGAGUAUGUUCUGAAACAACUUCUGAAUUGUGCCAUCUUCUGUGAAGGGGGAGGGAGCUUCAUUCCCAUAAUAUACCAAUAGAAAGAUGCUUCUUCUCUAAAAACUAGGUAGAAGGGCAAGCUUGGUUUAUUCAUGUACACACAUUCUUUAAAGAAAAAAAAAUUAACAUUUGGAAGGAGCAAUCUUAUUGCCUAUGGACUU